rnacentral:lncRNA from 1 species
CUAAGGUCUAAUAUCCUCAAAACAAAUGGAAAGACAGAACAUCUUAGCAGGGAAAUAAAAGAUUCAACUGGCUCAUGGUUUGUACCGGGGGAACCAAGCCCAUGGUUGGGAUCCAGGGGUCCCUCCAGUCUCCUGUUCCAUGGUCGCACACACCUUGAGGGCACCCACACGGUUUGAUCGUCUCCUUAUAUUGCUGCUGGCAGACUCGUGACGGGGUUUCUCAUUCAUCUGGGUGUACAAGAAGCAUGGUGCCAGCAUCUGCUCAGCUUCUGAUGAGGGCUCUGGGAAGCUUUUACUCAUGGAGGAAGGCAAGGGGAACCAGCAUGUCACAUGAUGAGAAAGGAAGCAUGAGAGAGAGGUGCCAGACUCUUCAACAACCAGAAGAGAAAGUCAGAGAGAAUCAAAGCAUGUGAAGAGAGACCUCACGCAAGGAGGUCUAGGAGCCUAGAGUGAUCUUCAGCCAACAGUCAAAAAGAUAACUGGGACAACCACAAGGAACUGACUUCUAUAAGAGAAAUGAGCCUGGAAAAGGACUCCAAGCUUCAGAUGAAAAUGUAGUUGGCUGACACUUUGAUUUUAGUCUUGUGAAACCCUAAGCAGAGAAUCCAAGUAAGUCCCCCUGAAC